UACGUAGGGGGCAAGCGUUGUCCGGAAUCAUUGGGCGUAAAGAGCGUGUAGGCGGCUCGGUAAGUCCGCUCUGAAAGCCCGGGGCUCAACCCCGGGAGGCGGGCGGAUACUGUCGGGCUAGAGUCCGGAAGAGGCGAGUGGAACUCCUGGUGUAGCGGUGAAAUGCGCAGAUAUCAGGAGGAACACCAAUGGCGAAGGCAGCUCGCUGGGACGGUACUGACGCUGAGGCGCGAAAGCCAGGGGAGCAAACGGG
rnacentral:rRNA from 1 species